GAAAUAACAUAAAACAUUUUGUGCACACUGAAUAGCGCGCGUAGCGGGUUAUUAAACAGUGUGCACCACAUUUUUUAUGUUAUUUCGAAUAGACAGAAAAAGUAUUACAGUCAUUUCUUAUAAUUUAAUUCUAAAUUCCAUUUUAAACCGUAGAAAACCAUGAAAAAACGUUGAUGACGUCACGGUCACAUGACUAAAUUAUGUCUAUGGGUUCAUAACAAAAUAACGUCAGCCAAUCAGAAGACGCGUUACAUCCA
rnacentral:lncRNA from 1 species